CAGGCCUAACACAUGCAAGUCGAACGAGACCUUCGGGUCUAGUGGCGCACGGGUGCGUAACGCGUGGGAAUCUGCCCUUGGGUUCGGAAUAACAGCGAGAAAUUGCUGCUAAUACCGGAUGAUGACGUAAGUCCAAAGAUUUAUCGCCCAGGGAUGAGCCCGCGUAGGAUUAGCUAGUUGGUGGGGUAAAGGCCUACCAAGGCGACGAUCCUUAGCUGGUCUGAGAGGAUGAUCAGCCACACUGGGACUGAGACACGGCCCAGACUCCUACGGGAGGCAGCAGUGGGGAAUAUUGGACAAUGGGCGAAAGCCUGAUCCAGCAAUGCCGCGUGAGUGAUGAAGGCCUUAGGGUUGUAAAGCUCUUUUACCCGGGAUGAUAAUGACAGUAUCGGGAGAAUAAGCUCCGGCUAACUCCGUGCCAGCAGCCGCGGUAAU
rnacentral:rRNA from 1 species